rnacentral:rRNA from 1 species
CCUACGGGUGGCAGCAGUGAGGAAUAUUGGUCAAUGGACGAGAGUCUGAACCAGCCAAGUAGCGUGAAGGAUGACUGCCCUAUGGGUUGUAAACUUCUUUUAUAUGGGAAUAAAACGUUCCACGUGUGGGAUUUUGUAUGUACCAUAUGAAUAAGGAUCGGCUAACUCCGUGCCAGCAGCCGCGGUAAUACGGAGGAUCCGAGCGUUAUCCGGAUUUAUUGGGUUUAAAGGGAGCGUAGGUGGAUUGUUAAGUCAGUUGUGAAAGUUUGCGGCUCAACCGUAAAAUUGCAGUUGAAACUGGCAGUCUUGAGUACAGUAGAGGUGGGCGGAAGUCGUGGUGUAGCGGUGAAAUGCUUAGGUAUCACGAAGAACUCCGAUUGCGAAGGCAGUUCACUGGACUGCAACUGACACUGAGGCUCGAAAGUGUGGGUAUCAAACAGGAUUAGAUACCCCAGUAGUC